AUGCUAUUUGCAACUUUAGAACAUAUACUAACUCAUAUCUCUUUCUCAACGAUUUCAAUUGUGAUUAUGAUUCAUUUUAUAACCUUAUUAGUUCGUGAACUUGGAGGAUUACGUGAUUCGUCAGAAAAAGGAAUGAUAGUUACUUUUUUCUCUAUAACAGGAUUCUUAGUUUCUCGUUGGGCUUCCUCGGGACAUUUUCCAUUAAGUAAUUUAUAUGAGUCAUUGAUCUUCCUUUCAUGGGCCCUGUAUAUUCUUCAUACCAUUCCUAAAAUACAGAACUCUAAAAAUGAUUUAAGCACAAUAACUACGCCAAGUACUAUUUUAACGCAAGGCUUUGCCACAUCGGGUCUUUUAACUGAAAUGCAUCAAUCCACGAUACUAGUACCUGCUCUACAAUCUCAGUGGUUAAUGAUGCAUGUCAGUAUGAUGUUAUUAAGCUAUGCAACUCUUUUGUGCGGAUCCUUAUUAUCUGCCGCUAUUCUAAUCAUUAGAUUUCGAAAUAAUUUCCAUUUCUUUUCUAAAAAGAAAAAAAUGUUUUAAAUAAAACAUUUUUAUUUAGUGAUAUUAAAUAUUUUUAUGCAAAAAGAAGUGCUUUAA
rnacentral:rRNA from 1 species